rnacentral:lncRNA from 1 species
UCCGUCUGGGGUCAAGAAGGUUUUCUCCGGCAGAGCCUUGUUUUUGAUGACCACGGAUGACGAGGAUUUUCCAUCCCUUAUGAAGCGGACGCAGUUAAAAGAUACUUCGUAAAAGAGACCCGCUGGACGAAAAGAAUAAGAGAGUCCAGGCAAAAAAGGGCAUCCCGGCGAACCGAAAAAAAAGAGGAGAAAAGGUUCGGGCAAAAAUUAGGGAUAAAAAGAAAAAAA